rnacentral:rRNA from 1 species
GACGAACGCUGGCGGCGUGCUUAACACAUGCAAGUCGAACGGGCCUUGUCCCCUUUUUUUUUGGGGGUGGGGUUAGUGGCGAACGGGUGAGUAACACGUGAGUAACCUGCCCCUCACUUCUGGUUAACCGCUCGAAAGGGUGGCUAAUACGGGGUGUUCUGGCCUGCUCGCAUGGGUGGGUUUUGACAGAUUCGACCGGUUUUGGCUGUUCUGGUGGGGGAUUGGCUCGCGGCCUAUCAGCCUGGUGGUGGGGUGAGUGCCUGCCAAGGCUUUGAGGGGUGGCCGGCCUGGGAGGGUAGGCGGCCACACGGGGAGUGAGACACGGCCCGGACUCCGACGGGAGGCAGCAGUGGGGAAGAGGGAACAGUGGGCGAAAGCCUGAUGCAGCGACGCCGCGGGAGGGAUGGAGGCCUUCGGGUUGUGAACCUCUUUCGCCAGUGAAGAAGGUCCUGCUGUUGGUGGGGGGGUGGGCGGUAGCUGGGCGAAUGAAGCGCGGGCUAACUACGU